AUCAAGAAAGUGAAAGAACCAAUAACAUAUAGGCGCUAUAUUUGAGAGUGCUGACAGGCAGAUGAACAAAAUUUUUCUGCUUUCCUCUUUCUUUCCUUUUUUCUCAUCAGGAAGCGGACAAUUUUUAAAAUCA
rnacentral:ribozyme from 1 species